UACAGAGGUCCCGAGCGUUAGGCGGAGUUACUGGGCGUAAAGGGCAUGCAGGCGGUCGGACGCGUUUUGUGUGACAGCGGAUGGCUUACCUAUCCGAGCAUACGAAAGACGGUUGGACUUGAGGACUCGAGAGGGACACGGAAUUCCGGGUGGAGUGGUGAAAUGCGUAGAGAUCCGGAGGAACACCGAAGGCGAAGGCAGUGUCCUGGCGAGUGACUGACGCUGAGGUGCGAAAGCCAGGGGAGCGAACGGG
rnacentral:rRNA from 1 species